rnacentral:tRNA from 1 species
UUAGGGAGACCUACUUCAGGACAUCGUGCGAUGAUAAUAAUAGCCGAGUCUUGAGGUCAUCCUUAGGUCGGAUGGGGCGGUCAGAGAGCUUUCAAACUUUAGGGUUCGUGUUAUGGGCUAUUAGCUCAGGUGGUUAGAGCGCACCCCUGAUAAGGGUGAGGUCCCUGGUUCAAGUCCAGGAUGGCCCACAUCCACCCCAAACUGGGGGUAUAGCUCAGUUGGUAGAGCGCUGCCUUUGCACGGCAGAAGUCAGCGGUUCGAGUCCGCUUACCUCCACUCUCCUUUAAUUAGGUGCUAGUUGGGGUGAGGUAGUCUUGAAUUGAGAAAUUGAGAGUUGGUG